rnacentral:lncRNA from 1 species
UUACUAAUGUUAACCAUUAAUGCUAAAAUUUGAGCUGUUAAAAAUACACACUCAAUCCAUUUAAAGCGAGCGCCCAUAGGUUUUAAGUGAGUGUGACUCGCCCAACAUAGCAUUCCACCACAUAACUCGAUGCUGGUCUAUUUAAGCAAACAAUACCCUAUUCAGCACUUGCACAAAUUCGCAGUAUACGAAAAUUGAAUCCGUGAUCUCUGGCUCUGAUACAAAUUGUCGGAUCAUUAGAACUAACCAUUAAUUUCAAAAGAACGAGUUGUUAGAAAUAUGCAACAAAUUCACUUAAAGCGUACAGACAGCGUCCACAGAUCUCGAUAGUGACUCGGCCCAACUAGCCUCAUGUUAUUCCGAACAUGACUCGGCCCAAUAUGGCUUCCCGCCGUAUGGCAGAAUGUUCGAUCCAUUUAAGCCAAUUUAAAAAAAAAAUUGGAGAUUG